rnacentral:lncRNA from 1 species
CCAAAACAUAAUAGUCGUUUCGCGUUCUUCAAUUAUUCGGGGGAGAUGGGUUCCUCACGACUAGUAGGUUUACGGGAUUCACCAUGCUUCUAUCACAUAAUGGUGGGGGAAAUUCAAAAGAUUUGGCAACCCAUUCCCUUCAUUCUCGCUAGAGUUGACACAUAAGGAUCGCGUCGGCAUCAUUGAUGAAGUCUGUGAGAACCCCAGUAAUAAUGUUGACGAUGUCGCAAAUGAAGAUUUGCUUCCUGCUGCUGCCGAUGACCAACCCCUGAAGAAAA